AAGGGUAUAGCUCAGUGGUGGAGUGCAUGCCUUGCAUGCAUCAGGUCCGGGGUUCAAUCCCCCAUACCUCCA
rnacentral:tRNA from 1 species